CUGUGUGUUUUUUAUUUGGUACAGGACCAGCUGAUUUUGUUUCUUUUUCCCUCCCCAAUCAGACGGUCUUGUUUGUAAGCCGUAUGAAGACAAAGAAAAAGAAGUUCCUGAUGAAAACCCUCCAGGGGCCCCUCCAGGUGUAUGGCUGAUAGUGAGCCUGUCUGUGAUUGUGGUGAUUGCGGUGAUUGCGGGGAUUGUGUUGUUCAUCAUCAAGACGAAAUAGCCAGGGACUCAAAUGCGGACUGAGCCUACGCCGAAUUCUGAAGGUGUCCCACUUAAUGAAAUUGUACCGAACUCCCCACAGAUAAAUUUGGAUAACCUUACGCCCCCCCCCUCCCCCCAGCAGUGAAACAAAGGUGAAGUAAAGCAUGGAUGGAUUUUUUUUAGGGAUGAAAAGAAAAACCAACGGCAAGACUGAAGAAUAUUUAAUCAAAUGAAUUUGUUAAUGUAACAUGAAAGUUUUUUCAAAGAUGUACAGAUGUUUUGAAAUGUAACACAAGAGCCUUUUCCCGAGAUGUUCUAAGUCGAUGUAUAACACAAAAGCCUUUUCCCGAGAUGUUCUAAGACGAUGUAUAACACAAGAGCCUUUUAAUGUAAUUUAGUAAUUUAAGCAUUCAAAAUGAGUAAAAUGGGGCAGGUCAACUGCUCAUUUGUACCAC